CCUUCCAGCAGACUCUCAUCGUCUGCCCACCAAACACCAUACAAGGUCUCCAGUCAUCCAAUAAGAGCUCUAGUUUCCCAGUGAGGAUGAACAGUUCAGCCCCCAUAGUGAACCAGAACCAAUCAACACAGCCACUGCAGCUGCAGCCUGCCAUGCUCACACAGGGCUCCUGCACACCCCUGAUGGUAGCCACCCUCCACCCCCACCCCCC